GAUGAAGAACGCAGCGAAAUGCGAUAAGUAAUGUGAAUUGCAGAAUUCAGUGAAUCAUCGAAUCUUUGAACGCACAUUGCGCCCGCCAGUAUUCUGGCGGGCAUGCCUGUUCGAGCGUCAUUUCAACCAUCAAGCCCCCGGCUUGUGUUGGGGACCUGCGGCUGCCGCAGGCCCUGAAAACCAGUGGCGGGCUCGCUAGUCACUCCGAGCGUAGUAAUACAUCUCGCUCAGGGCGUGCUACGGGUUCCGGCCGUUAAAAAGCCUUAUUUACCCAAGGUUGACCUCGGAUCAGGUAGGAAGACCCGCUGAACUUAAGCAUAUCAAUAAGCGGAGGA
rnacentral:misc_RNA from 1 species